rnacentral:misc_RNA from 1 species
GAUGAAGAACGUAGCGAAAUGCGAUACUUGGUGUGAAUUGCAGAAUCCCGUGAACCAUCGAGUCUUUGAACGCAAGUUGCGCCUCAAGCCAUUAGGUUGAGGGCACGUCUGCCUUGGCGUCACAUAUCGUUGCCUGAUGCCAGUUUCCUCGUGAUGGGUGACUGUGCAGGGCGAAUGAUGGCUUCCCGUGAGCAUUGUUGCCUCAUGGUUGGUUGAAAAUUGAGUCCUUGGUAGGGAGCGCCGUGAUAGAUGGUGGUUGAGUGACGAACGAGACCCAAUCAUGUGAGACCCCUACCGAAUUUGGCCUUCAUGACCCACAUGCGUCUUUGGAACGCUCAUGACGAGACCUCAGGUCAGGCGGGGCUACCCGCUGAGUUUAAGCAUAUCAAUAAGCGGAGGA